GCCUAGCCCCGAUUGAAGCAUUUGUUUGAGCUCCUUUUUUGAUUUUUUUUCAAAAAAGAGCGAGUGCGGAAAGCGGGAAAUAGC
rfam:Tenacibaculum dicentrarchi strain AY7486TD, complete genome.